rnacentral:rRNA from 1 species
UGAUGGCGACCGGCGCACGGGUGCGUAACGCGUAUGCAACCUACCUUUUACAGGGGCAUAACACUGAGAAAUUGGUACUAAUUCCCCAUAAUAUCUGAGACGGCAUCGUUUUGGGUUGAAAACUCCGGUGGUAAAAGAUGGGCAUGCGUUGUAUUAGCUAGUUGGUGAGGUAACGGCUCACCAAGGCGACGAUACAUAGGGGGACUGAGAGGUUAACCCCCCCACAUUGGUACUGAGACACGGACCAAACUCCUACGGGAGGCAGCAG